rnacentral:rRNA from 1 species
UAGGGAAUCUUCGGCAAUGGGGGGAACCCUGACCGAGCAACGCCGCGUGAGUGAAGAAGGUUUUCGGAUCGUAAAGCUCUGUUGUUAAGGAAGAACGAGUGUGAGAAUGGAAAGUUCAUACUGUGACGGUACUUAACCAGAAAGGGACGGCUAACUACGUGCCAGCAGCCGCGGUAAUACGUAGGUCCCGAGCGUUGUCCGGAUUUAUUGGGCGUAAUGCGAGCGCAGGCGGUUAGAUAAGUCUGAAGUUAAAGGCAGUGGCUCAACCAUUGUAGGCUUUGGAAACUGUUUAACUUGAGUGCAGAAGGGGAGAGUGGAAUUCCAUGUGUAGCGGUGAAAUGCGUAGAUAUAUGGAGGAACACCGGUGGCGAAAGCGGCUCUCUGGUCUGUAACUGACGCUGAGGCUCGAAAGCGUGGGGAGCGAACAGG